ACUAUCUCAUGUUUGGGUGCCAUCCCUGUCUCCCAGUGGAUCUGCUCUUUUGGCCUGCCCGCUGACAAGGAGAGUGAAACGCCACAAGGCUAUGCUGAAAAAUGGGCAGUGAGAAUGAAAGAUGCCCACUGAAUUGCAGCUGAGAACAGUCAGCAGUCCAGUGCACGAGGCAAGAGGUACUAUGACCAUCAUGUAAAAGGACUGCAGCACGGUGACAGUCUUAAUUCACAACUUGAGUGAGAGAGGAGGGCCAGGAAAUCUUAGGUCCUACUGGGAACAAGUAGAACAAAAAGUAAAUGACAGUCCCAUUUACAAAGUGUGUCCAGAGGCAGGUGGCAAUAAAGUGAGCACCCUCUACCAAAAUCUCCUUUACCUUGUAAAUCAUUUGCCCGUGAGUAUGGCUCAUUGAUGAUGAUGAUGUCCCCAAAGCACAGUACUGGUUAAGAGUACGGAUCGGUGUUGUAUCCUGUCCAGGCUAGUAGAAGGCAGUAGCAGAGUGUUUGUAACGCGGGGAGUACCUUUGCCAAGGCACUGCUAGCUUCUCAUUCUGCCCAGAGCGUCCUGACAACAACAAGCACUCUGUCAUCAUUUCUCCUGUUAAACAGAACACUGAUCAAACAACUGAGCCUUGAGGGCAAGAUGACCCCAGAAUAGGUCUCCAAAAAAAUGGGUGAAUUUAAAAAUGAAAUAUAAGGUUGAAAAUUCCCAAGGCUAGCUCGGGAACAGAAAAUGGAGAGGUCACAGCUGCCACCUGGCAGUUUUAUGCAGAUAUGCAUAAAGUUUUGGGUGCCAGACCUUCAAUUGAGCCUCCUGUUUUGGUGGAAUCUUUUGUUGCAAAUACUAAUGCAACAACAUUACUUAUGGUAAGUUUAGCAGGAAAGCAAUAACCCAACCCAAUAUUCCAACCCAAUACUGGAACCCAUCCAGUACUGGAUUUCCUCAAGAAGGAAUCCCAAAAUGAGCAGGCCUUUUUGAAAAAUUGAUUGACAAACUGCCAAACCAUAAAUAUUUAUUCUGGCCAGUUCAGUUUAAUGUGUACUGUGUUUUUGUUUUGUUCAUGCUGGACUGGCAGGCCAGAAAGCAAUUGUAAUGGAUUGUAAAU